ensembl:lncRNA
GGGGCGGCAGGGUAGCCUAGUGGUUAGAGUGGAGGGGCGGCAGGGUAGCCUAGUGGUUAGAGUGGAGGGGUGGCAGGGUAGCCUAGUGGUUAGAGUGGAGGGGCGGCAGGGUAGCCUAGUGGUUAGAGUGGAGGGGUGGCAGGGUAGCCUAGUGGUUAGAGUGAAGGGGCGGCAGGGUAGCCUAGUGGUUAGAGUGGAGGGGCGGCAGGGUAGUCUAGUGGUUAGAGUGGAGGGGCGGCAGGGUAGCCUAGUGGUUAGAGUGUUGGACUAGUGACCGGAAGGUUGCAAGUUCAAACCCCCGAGCUGACAAGGUACAAAUCUGUCGUUCUGCCCCUGAACAGGCAGUUAACCCACUGUUCCCAGGCCGUCAUUGAAAAUAAGAAUUUGUUCUUAACUGACUUGCCUCGUUAAAUAAAGGUUAAAUAAAAAUAA